rnacentral:sRNA from 1 species
GCACGAUACUGGGAGUCCAGGCGCCAGGGGAGGGGGAAGGGAAAAGGGGAAACGGUGCAAACGGCGUGGCCGCCAUCUUGCUUGUGCCCCCGCUUCGCGCGCGCUCCGUUCUCCGUGACGCACACUUCCCCCUCCCCUCCGCCGCGCCUGGGCCUCUGCAUUGCCCGACUCCGUAGGAGCGCGGGGGCGGCUCCUGCUCUUCCUGGACUCCUGAGCAGAGUUGUCGAGAUGUCCACAGAAGGAGGAUUUGGUGGUACUAGCAGCAGUGAUGCCCAGCAAAGCCUACAGUCGUUCUGGCCUCGGGUCAUGGAAGAAAUCCGGAAUUUAACAGUGAAAGACUUCCGAGUGCAGGAACUCCCACUGGCUCGUAUUAAGAAGAUUAUGAAACUGGAUGAAGAUGUGAAGAUGAUCAGUGCAGAAGCGCCUGUACUCUUUGCCAAGGCAGCCCAGAUUUUUAUCACAGAGUUGACUCUUCGAGCCUGGAUUCACACAGAAGAUAACAAGCGCCGGACUCUGCAGAGAAAUGAUAUCGCCAUGGCAAUUACAAAAUUUGAUCAGUUUGAUUUUCUCAUCGAUAUUGUUCCAAGAGAUGAACUGAAACCUCCAAAGCGUCAGGAGGAGGUGCGCCAGUCUGUAACUCCUGCUGAGCCAGUCCAGUACUAUUUCACGCUGGCUCAGCAACCCACCGCUGUCCAAGUCCAGGGCCAGCAGCAAGGCCAGCAGACCACCAGCUCCACGACCACCAUCCAGCCUGGGCAGAUCAUCAUCGCACAGCCUCAGCAGGGCCAGGUCUGUGAGCUGCUGAGGAUGCCCAUCCAGCAAGACAGUGCCCCUUAGGUUUUUGGAUGGGCAGAGCUUGAUGAGGGCAGAGAGGCAGCCAGAUCAUUAUAGAGCACUGGAUUUAAAGUCUGGAAACUGGAACUUUUCCCCAGAUUCAGCUACU